UAGCAAAGAUAUUACAUGAAAUCUGAACAUGACUUUAAUCAUAAUUCUUUUGUAUUGGAACAGAUCUUGCAAGACAUCUACAAUAUGAACCAUAAUAUAUUUAUCUUGGAAUUAUAUAGCUUACUCAUUAGUCAUAGAUGAAAUCUACUCUGACAGUAAAGUACAUAUGAUCUACCGAGAGAAUGACGAAAUUGCUGGCUCUGGUGUAGGUAGAAACAACAAAAUUGUGAGAGAGAAAGAAAAAAAAAUCCCAAAUAACAUGAAUCAAGUCUAUACAUGUACGAUUAAAUUUAGUUCACAUUGAUAUACCUCAGCUGUCAAAAAGUGGACAUGGUUUAGGCCAAGCUCUUGCUACUUCUUUACCCCCAUAGAUAAACAAUCUGCUCGCAACCAAGGACGUCUUUAUUAAAUUUAGUUCACAUUGAUAUAACGGUACCUCAGCUGUCAAAAAGUGGACGUGGACAUGGUUUAGGCCAAGCUCUUACUACUUCUUUACCCCCACAGAUGAACAAUCUGCUCGCAACCAAGGACGUCUUUAUUAAAUUUAGUUCACAUUGAUAUACCUCAGCUGUCAAAAAGUGGACAAGGUUUAGGCCAAGCUCUUACUACUUCUUUACCCCCACAGAUCAACAAUCUGCUCGCAACCAAGGACGUCUUUAUUAAAUUUAGUUCACAUUGAUAUACCUCAGCUGUCAAAAAGUGGACAAGGUUUAGGCCAAGCUCUUACUACUUCUUUACCCCCACAGAUCAACAAUCUGCUCGCAACCAAGGACGUCUUUAUUAAAUUUAGUUCACAUUGAUAUACCUCAGCUGUCAAAAAGUGGACAUGGUUUAGGCCAAGGUCUUACUACUUCUUUACCCCCACAGAUAAA